rnacentral:ncRNA from 1 species
AUGAUAGAGGCGCGGCGCUCAUCAGUACCCUCCGCACCCGGCAGGACAACCGGGGAGGGGAAAGGGAUCGCCGCCGAAGGGGUCCUUCCGGGUGCCUGGCCGGAGGACAGCCUGGGCCGUCAGAGAACAUCUGCCGGACUGCCAUUGCACAAAUGGAGCACUAUCAU